rnacentral:rRNA from 1 species
AUGUGGUGUCGCUCAGACGCCCGACUGUGGCAUGCUGUUAAUUAUUUACUCUAUAAGCCCUUUAUGUGGUGUCACUCAGACGCCCGACUGUGGCAUGUUGUUAAUUAUUUACUCUAUAAGCCCUUUAUGUGGUGUCGCCCAGACGCCCGACUGUGGCAUGUUGUCAAUUAUUUACUCUAUAAGCCCUUUAUGUGGUGUCGCCCAGACGCCCGACUAAGGCAUGCUCGUUAUUUAUUAUCUUUUCGAGGCGUCGCUUCAGACACCCGAUUGGUGCAUUUUAUUACUACUCUAUUUCUACAUAUUCAUGUUGCAUAUAUAUAA